UGUUGGUGCACCCGAUACAGAACCAAUCAGUCAUUAUAUAAUCGAGAACAAUCAUCAGAAAUCAAGCGAUAUGAAUCAGACAGUGGGGUGCCGCCUGACCGACUAGUUGGUCAGAAGGUUCAAAUCACGUUACACAGGGUUGCCAACUCGUCAGUAAGGAAAGUAGGUAUUGGCUGUCCUAAAAGUCGCUAAAUGACGUCAUCGCCUAAUUUGCAUAUUUUGCCAUGUGCAUGUAAUUGUGAUGGGCGCUGUAGGAGAGAGUAAUACCGUUGUGGGAGAGACAAACUGAGUAAUAAACAUCCUACAUUUACAUCCCGCCCUGAAUGUAAGCCAGGGCGGGGAUCAGCCAGCGGCGGAACCGCAUGCGCGAUUCAUUUGCGGUCUGGAAGCAGACGGGUAAACAGCUCCUGUGAGUGCUUUGGGACGGGGGUAACAAAGCACCCGCUGCUCGUUGAGAAGAGUAAGAACGAUACGUGCUUCACGUCAGAGUCUCCAAUAACACCAGAAAAAGUCGCUAGAUUUGUCGCUGUGCCACCUGUGCUGUGAGAACACACAGCACUCCCAACAUUGUCCACCAGUUGGAGUUAUGGAAGUCAGGGCAGUUUAUCCCAUGUGGGCCUACGAUGGGAGUGGAGGAGACAAGAUGACCAUGACUGUCACAGCCAGUACAACCGUCUUCUGACAGUUGUUGACGUUAGAGGAAGAGCUCAUGACGUCUGGCUGCAGUUUUACAGCUGUGAGUUGGAACUUGACACCCUGAUCGGCUACAGACCAGCCUGCCACCCCCUAUCUGCUGCAAACAGCAAUUUCAGUGGACCUCCAGCCCCAGUUUGCAGCCCUGCAACUGGAGUGUGGGGUGUCAUUGAGGGGGAUUGCCUUUCCAUAAAUCCAAUGCAUACUGGAAGACAGUUGAGCUCUACCGGAAGCUCACAAAUGAAUCACUUGAGGAGUUCAAACACUGGCAGUUUGAACGAGAGACUGUCAGGAAGUUGGCGCCACUGACCUUGGACGGAACAAAGUGUCCUCUCUGUCCACAGGUAUGUCAAUGAUAACAAUUAAGGAACAACUCCUCUAAGCUAGGAUUCUUAUUUGCAUUCAGCGUUGUUCAUAAUUUAUAACCUCCGUUGUCUUUCUUAUAUAUAUUCUAUCGUUGCCUUGCCAAACAGUAGUAAUGUUAUGCGGCAAUACCAUUGCAAGCCUCUCAAAAACCCAACCAUUUGUCCAAGUUGUGGGAAGCGGAAACAGGUAAAGUAUGGGAUUGCCAGACGGCAAAGUUUUGUGGGUGGCUUUGCAACCCAGGCCGCUACGGUUGCCAUGAAGGCCUGUCUGGAUCCACAACACGCUGGAUAAUGGGGCUCUGGUAAAGCUAGGUGGAUCAAUCAUCUGCUUAGUGGAUACUACCGAUUACAGAUACAUUCACGAAGAAACUACAGCGUAAAUUACCUAUGUUUCCCAAAUAGCAGAAGGUUUUAAGUAAUAUCCUUGCAAAUGUCCAU